GAUGAACGCUGGCGGCGUGCCUAAUACAUGCAAGUCGAGCGAACUGAUUAGAAGCUUGCUUCUAUGACGUUAGCGGCGGACGGGUGAGUAACACGUGGGCAACCUGCCUGUAAGACUGGGAUAACUUCGGGAAACCGAAGCUAAUACCGGAUAGGAUCAUCUCCUUCAUGGGAGAUGAUUGAAAGAUGGUUUCGGCUUACCAUUACAGAUGGGCCCGCGGUGCAUUAGAUAGUUGGCGAGGUAACGGCUCACCAAGGCAACGAUGCAUAGCCGACCUGAGAGGGUGAUCGGCCACACUGGGACUGAGACACGGCCCAGACUCCUACGGGAGGCAGCAGUAGGGAAUCUUCCGCAAUGGACGAAAGUCUGACGGAGCAACGCCGCGUGAGUGAUGAAGGCUUUCGGGUCGUAAAACUCUGUUGUUAGGGAAGAACAAGUACAAGAGUAACUGCUUGUACCUUGACGGUACCUAACCAGAAAGCCACGGCUAACUACGUGCCAGCCGCCGCGGUAAAAC
rnacentral:rRNA from 1 species